ensembl:lncRNA
GUACCAAAAAAUUAAAAAAAAUAAAAACCACAUGAAUGAGUAGAUGUAAAGGAACGAGUCACAAGGUUACACUAUCAUCCAUUCUCUGAAUUCCUCUGAGUCACAGACCAAAAUGACAGUGAUUUAUGACCCACUGACAAACGGAUUUUAGUAUAAAUAAGAAACCAGAUACCAGUUGAUGCGGAAAGAAUUAUGGGUAACACAAAAUAAUACUUGAGAUCAAAAUGACAGAGUAAUGAUCAGCAGCAAAAUACAGACUCUCUGGGACCUUGAAUCCAGACACACAGAAAAUAACAACUUGGAAAAGAGAAAAAGAAAAGCGUUAGAUCUCCAGGAAUUGGAAAGAAACUGAACAUUAGAAACUGCAGAGAAGCUGGACUAAUGGAGCACAAUGCAGAGGAAAGAAUGAAGCAAACGGGAGAGCUCACUCUGGCUCCUGGGGAGAGGAACCUAUCUCUACAGACACAAGGUCCAGAAGCUCACUUUACAGCAAAGCCAAGGUCUGAGAGACAAGCGCUGGCGAAAGAAAGUUUUCACUCAGUGACCAAAGAAUGGAAAACCAGGAUCCAUGCUCACGGAUCAAAUUCCAGCUAAGUGCACAUCGUAUAAUAUUAUGAGAACCUCCUGACAAAACACGAAGGCCAGGUGACAAGUAUGUCCUGCCAAAAGAGCCAGGAAAGCAGAACACACGUGCUAUCAGUGUAAGCGAGACUUGUGUGUGGAACAUGGUGUUUUCAUAUAUGAAAAAAAUCCCCUAGGUGUGAUAAUUGAAGUGAAGAUUAUUUCUGUGGUACAAAAAUAUUUGUAUUUUCAUUGUAGUUCACAAAGG